UUUCCUGUGGCUCAGUUGGUAGAGCGUUGCGCUAACAGCGCAAAGGUUGUGGGUUCAAAGCAAGAACUGACAGAAAAU